rnacentral:rRNA from 2 species
ACAAGCUCAAUUUACUCGGUUAAAAUUCUAGAUAGGAUUAUGAUAAUGACAUUACCUAUCUAUAUGUCUUGACCAAAUUACGUGCCAGCAGUCGCGGUAAUACGUAAAAGACUAGUGUUAUUCAUCUUUAAUAGGUUUAAAGCGUACCUAGACGGUUAAUCAAGCCUAAAUAAGGUACUAAUUAAACUAGAGUUUUAUGUAAGGGUGCAUUAAGGUACUGUUGAGGUGUAGAGAUGAAAUUCUGUCAUACCAGAUUAUUGGCACGGGUUUAGGCGAAAGCAUCACCUUAUGUAAUAACUGACGUUGACGGACGAAGGCUUUGUAUCGCUAACAGGAUUAGAUACCCCAGUAGUCUAAGCAGAAAAUGAUGAGUGUCAUAGGUUGAAUAUAAUUAUUCGGUCUAUAAAUGAAAGUGUAAGCACUCCACCUCAAGAGUAAUUUGGCAACAUUGGAACUGAAAUCAUUAGACCGUGUUUGAAACCAGUAGUGAAGUAUGUUGUUUAAUUAGAUGCCACGCAAAAAACCUUACCACAAUUUGAAUAUUAAAGAAAAUUUUUUACAAGCGCUGCACGGCUGUUUUUAGUUAAUGUCGUGAGAUUUUGGUUAGUUCC